rnacentral:sRNA from 1 species
UACAGGAAACCAUUUUACAACUGUACAAGCAGGCAGCAGUUCAACAGCCAAGCAAAAUUUUCAAAGGGACCUCUUUUACUUUGUUUGGUAAAAUGGCUGCCACGCAGGCCCCUUUAUAUACACUUCUUUCAAAUCAUGGUGGAAAGAAAGGUACUAAAGGCAAAGUUGACAUCCUGAUCACAACUGCAGAUGACAUCAAUGGAACUUCAAAAGUUAUUCUGGAGGCUAAAAAACA